rnacentral:lncRNA from 1 species
AAAAGUUCAACGGCGAGUAGCCUGAUGUAAAAAGUAUUUCGUAAGUCAUGCAAGGUUCGAGAAAAAAUCGCAUCCAAAUAAUAUGAUAUAGACAAUCUAAUAUAAUGCAAGUAGAUGCUUUUACAAUUCGAAUUUGUGAUUUAUAGAUCACACGAAAAUAAGUUUCCUGUUAGUUUCGAGGCUCCCUCUUAGAGAGACCUCCUCGGAUAGGGUGUUGUCUGUAAUAGCCAAAAUCCUGUGGAAGACAGAGGAAGGAUAAGGAAGUGACAAGAAAACCAUGCAGUUCUGGGAAAAGACAUACCUAACAUAAACCCAUGAUACGAUGUUGUGGGACUGCCACGUCAUCCUUGACAAAAUUUUGAUUCUUGAAUAGUUGGGGAGGGGCUAAUUAUGGUGA